AGUUUGACUCUGAGAAAAGGACAUUUGCUGGGACAAGUUAGUUACUCAUGAUAGCUGGUCAUGGAGAAAAUUCCCCAAUACUUUGAGGGUUCUGUGAGGGGAAAUGGGAGGACUUGGGACUAGCAGCCAUCGGGGACUUGCAGUUGUCAUUCACAGAGCUGGGCCUGCUGCAGCUUAUCAGGGGUGAGUGGAUUGGAGAAAGAGCACAUCUGGCCACAAGGUUCUUUGUCAUUCUCGAGUAGAGAGUCAGGUUUCUUCUAGAAUGAAACGUAAAAAAAUCCGUAAAUGUUUUAUUUCUUCUCUCUUGAUGCUAAUCCUUUCCCCCAUUAGGCUCGUUGACAAGCUUCUGUGGCUUCCUCUUUGAAACCUUUGCCCAUGACCUUUAGGUUCUUUCCUCCUUCAAGCAGACUCUCUUCUUGUCACAGAAUUCCCACCCUCAAAGUUGUUUCACUUCAGGCUAAUUUUUUGAUCUCACCUGUGCCUCUCAACUUCCGAAUUCUUUUCUUGUACAUUCCUCUUUCAUUAAAACAUUUCCAAUUUCUGCCAGUGAGAAGAGGGGAUGUCCUGGCAGCGUGGAGUGGCAUUCGCCCGCUUGUUACCGAUCCCAAGUCUGCAAACACUCAGUCCAUCUCUCGAAAUCAUGUUGUGGAAGUCAGCGACAGUGGCCUCAUCACAAUAGCAGGUACGGGGGAACUGACUCAUGUUUGGACUGUUUUUUUCCACUCUAAUGAACAAGUGUUUUGUCCUAUUUUUUACUAAGAGGGCACUUUUGUAUUAUUGGUAAAUGGUCAAUUAUAAUAAAAAUUCAGAAUGCCAACU
rnacentral:lncRNA from 1 species